rnacentral:tRNA from 1 species
GCAGCAGUAGCUCAGUGGUAGAGCCCCGCUUCGCGUGCGGGGAGACCUGGGUUCGACCCCGGGCUGCUUCU